UUCGAGUCCAGACUUGCAGCAUGUGGAUUAUAAUCUAAUUCUAUCCGCCUGUAAGACGUUCUAUGAGAUGCUGCGUAGGACGUAUCGACAUCGCCAACGUGAACUUCCAGCUCAGGCGGCCGACGUGAAGAGCUCAGCAUGGAGUUGACAGAGGAAGGAGAGGUUGUUGGAUGCAAGACAGAGUGUACAGACAGCUGAGGAAGUGGACUUCUGGAGGGGCGGCA